rnacentral:tRNA from 2 species
ACCUACUUAACUUAGCAGUUAGAGUAUUGUUUUCGUAUAACAUAAGGCGUUGGUUUAAACCCAGAAGUAGGUA